AACAGUUAAAUCGCGCGCUACCGCCGCCCAAGUAUCAGGGAAUGCGUACGAGGUGGUACGGAAACCGACUAUCACAGGUUUAUACCGGAUAAAUCUUGUUUCUUCCCGCGUGCAAAGUGUUCUCCAUCGCUGUUCUUCGAACGUUCCUAUCUUUCUCGGCGAGUCUCUCGAUGUUGUCAGUCAGAACCGCUCGAAACCCGAGUGUGUCCAUGGAGAACGUUAGCAGUUAGCAGCAAGCGCGAGAGUUGUCGUGUCGUCGAUCUCGCGCCAACCUAUCGACCAGCCAGCCAGUAAACUAACCAACCAGCCAGGCAACUAGUCAGCCAAUACGGGAAGAUAGAGAAAGAAGAAUCGCGGAUGAUUACCAAAUUUAUGAGGGACAAAAUAAUAUUGACACCGAUUUCGUGUGGCCUUGACGAUCUUCUCUAAGAAUCGUUCAUUCGAAACGACUUCUACGACUUCGAAGGUCCUCGAAUCAGAUGGGCACCGAUAAUUUGCAUUUUAAAUGCUUCUCAGAAAGGAACUUUUGGGCAUGUAUAGAGAAGAUUAAUUUAUACCGUGCAUGAGUAGAAGUAGAACGAAGGUAUCAAUGGUUCGAGAUAUUCUCUUUCUGGUUUUCUUUUUUUAUCUUGGAUAGGACAUUCGGUAAACGUUCGAGGGAAUUUUGAGCCGGAUGAAGUUCGUGCAUAUUCGAUGAGGAAGACUCUGUUUAACCUAACGGUACCGUUAAUUAGAGCUGAUUUAUAGUAUUGAUGGGUAGCUCGUGGUAUGUUUUCUACUGGAUUUCCUUAUGUUACUGCUUCAGUGAAUGUAUAUGCUUUAACGCAGUCUAACAAUUUUGUUAUAAGUUACUACUGAACGAUAAUUCAGGUUUUAAAACACCUAUUGACUACGUAAUUCCGUUCUAUUCGACUUAUCGUCCUCAUUUUGCACCAUUAGCUUUGCAUCAAAUUUCUCUAAUAUGCUAAUCGAUGUGUGAGCCUGGCUUUCAAAGUAAUUUUUAUAGAUUUAUCUAUGGAAAAUAUUCGUUAUAUCGAUCGUUAAUAAGAAUAUGAUAUUAACGAUUAUAAUAAAGAUCGUACGACGUUGAUCGUUAAUAAGGAUAGGAAAUUUCAUUUCAAUAAGCUGACUUUUAUACGACUUUGUUUUAAAUAAAUUCUUAAAUAACAAUUAUUAUUUUAUUGAGAUUCGAUCACUGACUAUUGUUAUUGAGUAUGUUAAUAUUGAUUAUAGUAAUGAUAAACGACGUUGACAUUGAGAACGAUGGACUUCGCUACAUUAACCUCUCACCAUGAAUUCAUUCAAUGUUAUCCAGAAAAAAAACUGAAAUCCUUCAAACAUCCUCCUUUCUUUCCAUUUUUUACAUACAUAUACUUCUACGUAAUAUAAGACAAAUAAAAAAGAUUUCUCAUCUUCCAUAUAAGCUUGAUGCAAGUCAAAUAGCCAAAAAUUCCUACAACAAAUUUAACGCAAGUCAAAUA